GGAAAAUGUUUGACACUGAAAAUUACAGGCUAUGGAAAUAAGGACUGAGGCCGGAACACGGUGCGUGUUCACCCACGAAGAACCGCGCCGGUUUGAGCUGAAACCAAACAUGCUGGUGGGAAGCAGUUCAUCUGCAGCUCCACAAGACACAAGCUCAAAGACUUGAAAACCAAAAUGUCCAACAACGCGUCGAGCGGAUACUUCAAUCUAAUGUACAGCUGUGAUUCUUAUAAAACUGCAGAGUUAUUCUCCACAGUCUUCAUGAUCGUCCGGUUUCUGUGUGUCGUUCCGGUCUCCAUCGUCGUCCUCUGCUUGGGUUUCCGACGGCGCUCCACUAAAACCAGCCACUCUGAUCUGUUCACCUACAACUCUGCCGCCUUGCAACUGAUCUUUGGACUUGCAGUUGUUUUGUACCUCUGUGGCCAAUACGCUCACAUCUAUAGUGUUGUUAUUUUGGGCUUUUAUGCAGCCAGCAUUGCUUUUCCUGGAGAAAUAGUUUUUCACAUCUUGACAUGCGUGGAUCGCUAUCUGGCCGUUGUUCAUCCCAUCACCUACAGGGGGCUGACUCAGUCCGAUGGGAUCCGGAUCAGGAACAUCAGCAUCGUCUGUGGUUGGCUGAUCUCUUUCGGAUGGCUUGGGAUAGUUGCUGUUUUUUUCCCUGAGAUGCCUUAUGUUGCAUAUUUCUGCUUCUUUGCUACCUCAAUAAUAAGCAUUUCUUUCUGCAGCGUCUCUGUUCUUUAUGUUCUGAUUCAUCCAGGACCGGGUCAAACUGGCAGGAAAAAAGAGAAGGCAGAUAAAGCAAAGAGGAAAGCUUUCCAGACCAUCAUGGCCAUCCUUGCAGCGCUCCUCGUGUAUUUUGUGGCCUGCAUUGUUGUUCUUGCUGUGAAAAACCUAAAUCUGCUCAUUGAUGAGAAUGCAUGUCUGAUUCUAACGUCUGCACAGUGGUGUGGUAUUCCAUGCAACGUAGCUUUACCUCUGUUGUUUCUACGCAAAGCAAAGAAGCUUUAGUCCCAACCUGCUAAUUAGUAACUAACUAACUAACUUAGCAAAGCAUUUGCUGAAUGGAUCCUUUGGAAACACAAAUCCUGUGGAAAAAAAACAAAAACACGUGUAACUCAAACUUUUUCUCUGUGACUUUUUUUCUAAGGUUUCAUGAAAUUGAUACAAAUUGUGUUUAAGAAUCCAAGUAAUCCACACAGACACCAAAUCCAGAAAUAAUUUAACCACAAAUUAGAACAAUUUAUAAAGUGAAAUAACUCAGGGAAAUGGAAACAGGAAACGAUUUCCGCUUUUUGUGUCGAGAACACAGAUGGCAUUGGUUGCAGACAUGUUUCUAAAUGUCUGAAUGUUUCAUUUAACUAAUAAUUUGGAAAUGUAAUUUAAUUUCAGCAUAAGUUGGGUGUGCAGCCUUCUGGUUGUGACUUUACGUUCAGACUUGGGUUAUGCAGCAGCAGAAUGAUCUGGAUUCCUCCACCACGUCCAUUUCUGAAUGACUUUAAAGUAAAAAAAAAUCUAAACUUUUACUUGUGUCCAAGUGAAAUGUUGGGCCAUGACCUAAAUUAAUCCAUUC